UACGGAGGGUGCAAGCGUUAUCCGGAUUCACUGGGUUUAAAGGGUGCGUAGGCGGGCAGGUAAGUCCGUGGUGAAAUCUCUGAGCUUAACUCAGAAACUGCCAUGGAUACUAUUUGUCUUGAAUGUUGUAGAGGUAAGCGGAAUAUGUCAUGUAGCGGUGAAAUGCUUAGAUAUGACAUAGAACACCAAUUGCGAAGGCAGCUUACUACACAAAUAUUGACGCUGAGGCACGAAAGCGUGGGGAUCAAACAGG
rnacentral:rRNA from 1 species